CAUGGUAGAAUAUCAGGAGAAGAUAAGAUGUUGAGUGAGAUCUAUGCAUGAGGCCCCAUUGCCUGUACUAUUGCAGUGACUUCAGCCUUUGAACAAUACACUGGAGGAGUCUUUAAUGACACUACUGGAGCUAAAUCACUGGAUCAUGAGGUAUCCAUUGCUGGUUGGGGAGUUACUAGUGGAGGAGUUAAAUACUGGAUUGGACGCAACUCAUGGGGUACCUUUUGGGGUGAAGCUGGCUGUUUUAGGUUGAUAAGAGGAGUUGAUAAUCUUAAGGUUGAGUCCAACUGUGACUGGGCUGUCCCUGCUGCUAUUCACUAACUACUGAACUCCUAG